GGCAGCGCCCGCGGGACAGCGCCGGGCACGGAGCAGGCUCUUGACAUGGAGGAAAUCUCGGUGGAAACAAUCCUGGCCCCAUGGGAAAUCCUGCUGGUCAUUUUUGCUGCCGUGCUGGUCAUGAGCCUCCUGAUGCUGCUGCCCCCCGCCGCGGUGGUGCUCUGGAGGAUGAGGCGCGUGCCGCAGAUCUCGCUGCAAGGCUCCGUGUGAGCAGCCCUGCUCCCACCGCUGUCCCGGCAGGAUGGGCCCCACUGGCACCAUCCCUGAGCAUCACCUCACUGCCCAAAAGUGAGGGAAUCCCAGUGCUGCUGGGCUCCUGUGGGAAGAGGAUGCUUUGUCACCAUCCGCUGCGGCUCUCCGCACUUUGGCUUCUGUGUGUUGGCUGGGCUGUGAUUAAUGGUGUUGGCUCAGUCCCUAGACUGAGUUCCUCUCUUGUGGACAGAAAGAGAAGUAAGGAUAAUGCAGCACUGGAUUCCCUUAAUUAAUAUCAGGAAAUCCUCCCUCUCUAUAGUUACACUGCAAAUACUACUGAAGCCUUUAACUGACUGACACUUAUGCAGGUGGAUUUAUCCAAAGCAUGCAGGAUACUCUGGGGAGGCAGUAGUUUAGUCUGGUUGUACUGCAAAACCUAAGAAAAAAAUAAAAUUUCAGAGAAUGUUUCAAGAAAUAAAUCUCCCCUGCUUCUGUUGUUUUAUCUGGAAA